UGUACACGCUGUGACUAGCAUAUCAAUAAGCGGAGGAAAAGAAACUAACAAGGAUUCCCCUAGUAACGGCGAGUGAAGCGGGAAGAGCUCAAAUUUGAAAUCUUAAAGGGUUUCCCUUUACGAAUUGUAGUUUAAAGAAGUGUUUUCUGUUGAGGUUUUGGUAAAAGUUCUUUGGAAUAGGACAUCAUAGAGGGUGAGAAUCCCGUAUUUGACCUUUACUUUCAACUUUGUGAUACACUUUCAAAGAGUCGGAUUGUUUGGGAAUGCAGUCCAAAAUGGGUGGUAAAUUUCAUCUAAAGCUAAAUAUUGGCGAGAGACCGAUAGCGAACAAGUACCGUGAGGGAAAGAUGAAAAGAACUUUGAAAAGAGAGUUAAACAGUACGUGAAAUUGUCAAAAGGGAAGCGUUUGACACCAGUGUUGUUUUUCUGAAAAUCAAUUUAAAGAACUGUUUAUGCUAAGCUUGUUUAGACUUUAUCAGCUAACUGUUUAGUUUUGAGCUUUUCUUUAAUGCACUUUUCAGUUAACAAGUCAACAUCAAUUUCUUUUGCUGUAAAAAAGGCUUGAGGAAGGUGGCUUGAGAUUCGUCUUAAGUGUUUAUAGCCUCUUGCCUAUGCAGUCGGAGAGAUUGAGGUCUGCAGCGUAGAUCCUUCGGGGCUAAAUGCAUUUGUGCUAAGUUAUAGCAUUUUAUAGACAACUUGUUGACUAUGAUUUGUCUUGUAGCUUACUCGCUUAUGUUAUUUUACCUACGCUUAGGAUGUUGAGUCGUAGAGCACGCAG
rnacentral:rRNA from 1 species